rnacentral:rRNA from 1 species
UACGGGGGGGGCAAGCGUUGUUCGGAAUUACUGGGCGUAAAGGGCUCGUAGGCGGCCAACUAAGUCAGACGUGAAAUCCCCUCGGCUUAACCGGGGGAACUGCAUCUGAUACUGGAAGACUUGAGUACUGAUGAGGUAGGCGGAAUGGACGGUGUAGCGGUGAAAUGCAUAGAUAUCGUCAAGAACACCUAUAGCGAAGGCAGCUUACUGGGCUGUAACUGACGCUGAGGCACGAAAGUGUGGGGAUCAAACAGG